rnacentral:lncRNA from 1 species
AUUGUCAUUGUAGUCUUUUUUGCCAUUUUUAUACGCCCGUCGUCAAUGAAAUCCUUACUUUCAUCACCUACUUCCUCAUUUAGAUCAUAACUUUUAGUAGAGUCACUUUCACCAUCUUCACUUUCCCUGUUAUCUUCUUGCUGCUCCUCAUUGCCAUUGUAGUCUUUUUUGCCAUUUUUAUACGCCCGUCGUCUUUCAAACAACGGGCGUAUCAUGCGCUAAAGCGCAGCCCUUUAUUUAUAUAUACUAUAACCAUCAUAUUAUAUAUCUACCAUAGUUCAAAAUGUAUAUAAUAAAAAAGAAGAUUUGGUAUGAUUGCCAAUGAGACAAUUCUUCACAAGAGACCAAAAUGACACAGAAAUUAACAACUAUUGGUCACUGUAUGACCUUCAACAAUGAGCAAAGCCCAUACCCUAUAGUCAGCUAUAAAAAGCCCCGAAAUGACAAAAUGUAAAACAAUUCAAACGAGAAAACAAACUUUUUUAUUUAAAAAAAAUGAAGAAAAACAAAUAUGUAACACAUAAACAAACAAUAAUCAACUUUGAGAAUAAACACUGUAGAGUUGAAAUGAGGCUUAAACAUAUAAAAAUGUUUUAUAAAAAUGAUGAAUUUACAAUCAUUUGAUUCAUGAUAUAUACAGCAGCUGAAUAAAAUUUAAAGGUUUCCAAAAGUAUGUAAUUAUGCAAAUUUUUUCAAGAAGAAAAACCCAAUGUGUUGAAAUUGUCUUCUAAACAUAGUUUAACAUUACAACAUUCUUUUCAUGGAAGUAAAAAUUAAUCAUUUUUGUCUUGCUGUGACACCUGUCGUGUGUCCAUAAUUCCUUGACCCUACCUUUUUUAGUGUGCAUCAACUGAUUUAAAAAUCUGUAUAUGCUGUAUUGCUGAGUGAAUUUUUUACUAAUUAUGAGUAAUACGAUAGCUAUAAAUAUGGUGUUUGGUCUGGUGCACACAAUAGACCACUUUCAAGUUAAUCUGUCAUCAGAAAAAACUCGUCAAUUAUGCGUGCCUUUAUGACGUCAUUUACCAGAUAGAGGGGAUCGCCUGUAUCCCUGCACUAUUAACGUUUUUCAAGCAUCUUAGUGAUUAUCAUUGUGCAGGAUAAACUAGAAAUAAUGUUUCUUUUUUAAGUACUCAUUCACAAUUCCAUAAUGACAGCAGUGUCAAUUAUAAGAAUUUAAUUUGCCGAAUAAUUCGUGCUGUAUAUAGUAGUAUUGUUUUCCAUCCACUUACUCAACAUUGGAACAGAAGUGACGAGUUUUUGACGGAAACGCAUCGAAACUCGAAAGUUGUCUAUUGCAGCAGGUGUAUAGAAUGAUUGAAAGGUGUAUUUAUUCCUCUCACAGGGUACAUCUGUCCUUGAUGAUAUUUAGUUAUGUGAUAAUUGUUGCAAAAUAUUUAUCUUGAGGUAUUUUAACAUAAAUAAAUUAUGACAUGAAAGCAGGAAGACAUUUCAGUGUGAAAACUCUUGUUAAAAAUCUAAAAUGUUGCCUCACGUAAAUAUUGUUGAUUUUUUUAAUAAACAGUCUGUUUUUGUGCAGUUUUUUUGUAAAACUUUUAUAAUUAAUGUAUAUAAAUGCCUCCACUCCUGUUUAAAAACAUUUACAUAAUAUAUAGUUUUUGUCUAAAAAUUAAUCUACUUGUCAUACUCAUGUACCAUUAUGUAUUGCACAAAUAUGUGUUUUGCUUUUAUAAAUAGUACUCUUUGUUACAUGAAGUGAUUGGUAUGUCAGUGUGUGAGUGUUUUAGGUAUAGAUGUGUUUGCAAUGCUUGUUCUUGUUAAUACUUGUUAUUUAUAAUUAUGGUGCUUUUUAUACAUUAUUUCUAUUUUCAUAAUAAAAA